rnacentral:rRNA from 1 species
UACGAAGGGGGCUAGCGUUGCUCGGAAUCACUGGGCGUAAAGGGUGCGUAGGCGGUUUUUUAAGUCAGGGGUGAAAUCCUGGAGCUCAACUCCAGAACUGCCUUUGAUACUGGGAAUCUCGAGUCCGGGAGAGGUGAGUAGAACUCCGAGUGUAGAGGUGAAAUUCGUAGAUAUUCGGAAGAACACCAGUGGCGAAGGCGGCUCACUGGCCCGGUACUGACGCUGAGGUACGAAAGCGUGGGGAGCAAACAGG